rnacentral:rRNA from 1 species
ACCUGCGGAGGGAUCAUUACCGAGUUAUACAACUCAUCAACCCUGUGAACAUACCUAUAACGUUGCCUCGGCGGGAACAGACGGCCCCGUAACACGGGCCGCCCCCGCCAGAGGACCCCCUAACUCUGUUUCUAUAAUGUUUCUUCUGAGUAAACAAGCAAAUAAAUUAAAACUUUCAACAACGGAUCUCUUGGCUCUGGCAUCGAUGAAGAACGCAGCGAAAUGCGAUAAGUAAUGUGAAUUGCAGAAUUCAGUGAAUCAUCGAAUCUUUGAACGCACAUUGCGCCCGCCAGUAUUCUGGCGGGCAUGCCUGUUCGAGCGUCAUUACAACCCUCAGGCCCCCGGGCCUGGCGUUGGGGAUCGGCGGAAGCCCCCUGCGGGCACAACGCCGUCCCCCAAAUACAGUGGCGGUCCCGCCGCAGCUUCCAUUGCGUAGUAGCUAACACCUCGCAACUGGAGAGCGGCGCGGCCACGCCGUAAAACACCCAACUUCUGAAUGUGA